UACAGAAAUGAGAAACAAGUGCUUUCGGAAGUUCUAUCCAGAUCAAGAGGAUUUCAAAACCAUCAAGAAGGAAUUUGCUGAUUUUGCUCUUUUCAUGAAUGCCUUUGAAAAUCCAGAUUCUAUUGAAGAUAGAGCUGAUUUUGAACCUAAACAAUGGUGGGGCACUCAUGGGGUCAGCACAAGGCUACUAAAAAAUUUGGCAUUGAAGGUACUUGGGCAGCCUGCAUCUUCCUCUUGCUGUGAAAGGAAUUGGAGCACAUAUGGUUUCAUCCAUAGUUCUGGAAGAAACAAGCUAACACCUGCUAGAGCUUCCGAUUUGGUGUACACACACAACAAUCAUCGCCUUCUUUCAAGGAAUUCUCAAGCAUAUAAAACUGGGCCAAGCCGAAUGUGGGAUGUUGGGGGUGAUGGAGUUGAGUCUUUUUCUGGUGUUGGCAUGCUUGAAGCUGCAGAUCUUUCACUUGAUGAACCAGAAUUGGAGGAGGAAAUCAUUGGUUCUCUCACUUGAGUCUACUGCCAAUCUGCCAUUCGCUCCUUCAGCCAUGAGAGAAUGAGACUAUCAGUCAUUCUCUCCAUUUAUGUUUGUAGUUGUUAUGUAAUCAACUUAUGAACUACCUAUUUGCCAUUUGAACUUUAUGUGUAUGAGACUUUGUGGCCAUCUGAGCCUUGCUAUUUGUGUUCUAUUUAAAAUAUGGUGUUGAGAACUUGAGAGUUGAGAUUGCCAAACCAUUCUGCAAUUGGGAGCGAAAUGGCAUUGCAAAUUGGAUGCAACUUGCAAUGAGAUGGGGGGACGAGGAUCGAUCAAGCACUUGAUAAAAGAGACACCAAAUGGGGCAGUACUCUAGUCUAUUCUUUAUUUUGAUCUAUUUCUCUUUAAUUUUCUGUCUUAACUCUAUAUUACAUGGCAUAUUUUUAUUU